GAAAAUUUUAUAAUAAUUGACAACAGAGUUUCUUUAAGGGAAAAGAGUCUUUGGUUCCAAGAGAUGACUGAUGGGUGCUUGGGGAGAGGAGCCUGGACUGGCACCCAGGCCCCUGGGGCAAAGGCAGCUGCUGGGCAUGAUAAGUGGAUGAAUGGAAUCUAGAAGUGAAGACAGGAAGUGGAGGGAGAGAGCAGAAACCUGCCUGGGGUGGUUCAGUAAAGUUUAUAAAACUGAGCAAGAGCUGGGUGAAGGAUUUUUUCAUUUGAUUGCAGAAAAGGAAGAAAGUACCGGAUUCCACACUGGGAUUGAUAUGUGUGGGACAAAGGUAGCUGGUUCAGAAAUUGGAGCUAAAAACCUUGAGAAGAGGCCCCUUGGAAGUGGCAGCAAUCUGGAGGAGAGCUUUGGGUUUCCAAAGGCCACAGAAUGGGUGGGAGGCACAAAGGCUUCUGCUCUAGAACUCCCUUCUUCUUACUCCAGAAGUGUUGGAUGAUGCUAUGGGAAACAGAUGAGUUUGUCCAGGGAACCAUGUGGAGUAUGAACAGAAGGAAGGCAAGAAAGGAACUCGUCAAACGGAUCGAAGAUAAGAGAUGGAUGGGCCCGGGACAUCUUCCCCAGUGGCUCUUGUCCACGGGACACCUGGCUUGUACCCACAGAAAGUUGGCUUCCAGCCAUGCUUGAGUGAGAACAGUGAGUGCCCUUGCCUUCCUACAGUGAGUACUCAAUAAAUGAUCACUGCCAUUGUCACAUAAUAAUGUGGCUAUUAUGAUCAUGGACAGAGC
rnacentral:lncRNA from 1 species